GGGCCCGGUAAGUCUCUUCGGAGAUACUGCCGGGCCC
rnacentral:rRNA from 1 species